GCAGCUGUGCGACUCUGACUCCCGUGGGCUGUGACAAAGGAUACUCUCUCCUGAUCCAGACCCCAGUACUCAAGGAGCCUUUUUGAGAACAUGCUAAUUCGACAGAGAAUCAGCAGCCAACACUGUUGUCUUAAGAAGAGGACUGAAGAGGAAAAGACAAUGCUGAGAGCCUUACUGACCUCUUUCAACAGCCUCCCCACAUGCAGCUGCUUUUGGGAAGCAAAUGUGGGGCAGUCAGAGGAUCUAAAAAGUAUGGGGAUUCACUGCUGUAUAUCACAUGUAUAUCAUGUGAAUAACAUCUUUCAAUUAGGAGCAUCCCACAUUCACCCAGCUCCUUGUGGUACAUGGAUCACAUACAUACAUGGUACCAGGAUGUGCAACAGUGACAGACUAGAGGACAAUAGAACAGUUCAAGAGCACCUAUGGCAAAUGCAAUGUCAACCUGCAUCAUCUGUGACGAAUAUACUGUGCAUUACCAUCAUUUUAUGUACUGUAAAUAAGCCCCCAUCCUUUGUUUUGCCUAACUCCUUCCAGAUGCCUCUUGCCUCAAACAAACUACAGUCCUCAGGUUCUCAGAAAUAGGAUCUUGGCCUACAAGAAGGUAAUUUCUCCAGGUUCAACAACCGGAUCAAGGCAUUUUACUCUUGCAGUCUGCAUUAUCCCUUCUUAUUCUUGAGCUGCCAUCUCAUUUAGGCAGGGACUUUUAGGAUACAAAC
rnacentral:lncRNA from 1 species